rnacentral:lncRNA from 1 species
AUAAAACUCAGAAAAACUCAAAAAUAGCUGAAAAUUUGAGAAAAUAUUAUUCCAGUGAAAUUUCUGCUUCGAAUUUUUAAGUUUUUCAUUACUGAACUAUAUCUGAUUCUAUUUGAGGCUGAAAAUGGAUAGACUUGGGUAGUGAAAGAUCUGGUUUAAGUUGGUUGAGUGGUUUCCUUCUUCUUGAUUGAUUCACGGCUUUUAUUGGUUGAAUCUGGGUGGAUUUCUGUUAUUGUUGACUGUUGACUUUCCAUCUCUACUGUCCCUCUUUUAUCUCCGAGUAUUCCUUGGAUCUUUCAAUUUGUGAAGUGCAAAUGAGAAUCUUUGUGGAUGAUGUGUAAUGAAAGAUAUUAUAGGUGUCAAUAAUAACAAUUCACUUGUCAUUUUAUUGCCAUUUCAGCUUUCUUUGGAUGUGGUCAUUUGUUUAGUUAUGAUCCUGUUUGGUUUUAAUUUGUAAACCUG